rnacentral:rRNA from 1 species
CCCGGUGAUCUAGCCAUGGGCAGGUUGAAGGUUGGGUAACACUAACUGGAGGACCGAACCGACUAAUGUUGAAAAAUUAGCGGAUGACUUGUGGCUGGGGGGGAAAGGCCAAUCAAACCGGGAGAUAGCUGGUUCUCCCCGAAAGCUAUUUAGGUAGCGCCUCGUGAAUUCAUCUCCGGGGGUAGAGCACUGUUUCGGCAAGGGGGUCAUCCCGACUUACCAACCCGAUGCAAACUGCGAAUACCGGAGAAUGUUAUCACGGGAGACACACGGCGGGUGCUAACGUCCGUCGUGAAGAGGGAAACAACCCAGACCGCCAGCUAAGGUCCCAAAGUCAUGGUUAAGUGGGAAACGAUGUGGGAAGGCCCAGACAGCCAGGAUGUUGGCUUAGAAGCAGCCAUCAUUUAAAGAAAGCGUAAUAGCUCACUGGUCGAGUCGGCCUGCGCGGAAGAUGUAACGGGGCUAAACCAUGCACCGAAGCUGCGGCAGCGACGCUUAUGCGUUGUUGGGUAGGGGAGCGUUCUGUAAGCCUGCGAAGGUGUGCUGUGAGGCAUGCUGGAGGUAUCAGAAGUGCGAAUGCUGACAUAAGUAACGAUAAAGCGGGUGAAAAGCCCGCUCGCCGGAAGACCAAGGGUUCCU